rnacentral:rRNA from 1 species
AGAGUUUGAUCAUGGCUCAGAUUGAACGCUGGCGGUAUGCUUAACACAUGCAAGUCGAACGGUAACAAGCCUUCGGGCGCUGACGAGUGGCGGACGGGUGAGUAACGCGUAGGAAUCUGCCUCAUAGUGGGGGACAACUUGGGGAAACUCAAGCUAAUACCGCAUACGCCCUACGGGGGAAAGCGGGGGACCUUCGGGCCUCGCGCUAUGAGAUGAGCCUGCGUUAGAUUAGCUAGUUGGUGGGGUAAAGGCCUACCAAGGCGACGAUCUAUAGCUGGUCUGAGAGGACGAUCAGCCACACUGGGACUGAGACACGGCCCAGACUCCUACGGGAGGCAGCAGUGGGGAAUAUUGGACAAUGGGCGCAAGCCUGAUCCAGCAAUACCGCGUGUGUGAAGAAGGCCUGAGGGUUGUAAAGCACUUUCAAUUGGGAGGAAAACCUGCCGGUCAAUACCCGGCAGCUUGACAUUACCUUUAGAAGAAGCACCGGCUAACUCCGUGCCAGCAGCCGCGGUAAUACGGAGGGUGCGAGCGUUAAUCGGAAUUACUGGGCGUAAAGCGUGCGUAGGCGGUUAUUUAAGUCAGAUGUGAAAGCCCCGGGCUUAACCUGGGAACUGCAUUUGAUACUGGGUAACUAGAGUUUAGUAGAGGAGAGUGGAAUUUCAGGUGUAGCGGUGAAAUGCGUAGAGAUCUGAAGGAACACCAGUGGCGAAGGCGACUCUCUGGACUAAAACUGACGCUGAGGUACGAAAGCGUGGGUAGCAAACAGGAUUAGAUACCCUGGUAGUCCACGCCGUAAACGAUGUCAACUAGCCGUUGGGCCUUUUAACAGGCUUAGUGGCGCAGCUAACGCAUUAAGUUGACCGCCUGGGGAGUACGGCCGCAAGGUUAAAACUCAAAUGAAUUGACGGGGGCCCGCACAAGCGGUGGAGCAUGUGGUUUAAUUCGAUGCAACGCGAAGAACCUUACCUACCCUUGACAUCCAGAGAAUCUGUUAGAGAUAGCGGAGUG